CUGAUACCGGCCAAGAGUCCAUAUCGACGGCGGUGUUUGGCACCUCGAUGUCGGCUAAUCACAUACUGGGGAUGAAGUAGGUCCCAAGGGUAUGGCUGUUGGCCAUUUAAAGUGGUACGCGAGCUGGGUUUAGAACGUCGUGGGACAGUUCGGUCCCUAUCUGCCGUGGGCGCUGGAGAGCUGAGGGGGGCUGCACAUAGUACGAGAGGACGGGAGUGGACGUAUCACUGGUGUUCGGGUUGUCAUGCCAAUGGCACUGCCCGGUAGAUAAAUGCGGAAGAGAUAGGUGCUGAAAGCAUCUAAGAACGAAACUUGCCCCGAGAUGAGUUCUCACUGAAACUUUAAGGGUACUGAAGGAACGUUGAAGACGAAGACGUUGAUAGGACGGGUGUGUAAGCG
rnacentral:rRNA from 1 species